GCUUACGGCCAUACCACCCUGAACACGCCCGAUCUCAUCCGAUCUCGGAAGCUAAGCAGGGUCGGGCCUGGUUAGUACUUGGAUGGGAGACCGCCUGGGAAUACCAGGUGCUGUAAGCC
rnacentral:rRNA from 15 species